GGCUGGUCUGAGUGCAGUGGUGUUUACAACUAAUUGAUCACAACCAAUUACAGAUUCCUUUGUUCCUUCUCCACUCCCACUGCUUCACUUGACUAACCUAAA
rnacentral:Y_RNA from 1 species